rnacentral:misc_RNA from 1 species
AACGCAUCUUGCGCCCCGUGGCAUUCCGCGGGGCAUGUCUGUUUGAGUGUCGUUUCCUCUCAAUCCGCACUCGUGCGCGACGUGGAGCUUGGGUGUCGGCAGCGUGUGCUGCCCACCCGGAAGUCAGAGGCCAAGCCUGAUCUGCGGCUAGACCGAACGUUGUAAGGUUCGCCUCGUUCGGGACGCGGGUCACCAUUGAGCCAAACUUAUGAAAUCGACUUUUGACCUCAAAUCAGGCAGGACUACCCGCUGAACUUAA